GCCCUCGUAGUAUAAUUAAUACCCUGGUCUUGUAAACCAGAAACGGAGAUUACUCUCCCUAGGACA
rnacentral:tRNA from 1 species